rnacentral:lncRNA from 1 species
AUUUGGACAUUUUACAAUAGUGUCAUAAGGUAGAUAUUUUGGGGCCCAACAGUACAAUAAAAAUGGUCUAUAACGAUACUUUUAAAUAUCGGUACAGAUCAAAAAAAUUACUGCUAGCUAAAUUACCUACACUUUUAAAAAGUGUUGCUAUAUGUGGGGUCGCUAGGUAUAUAGUGACGGUUAAAGAGUGUCGGUAUAAGCCAAAAAGAGUGCUGCUAAUUUACUAACACUUAUUUAAGUAUUUAGCAACUGCCGGAACUCUACCUCGUUGGCUGCGGUGGCGGAGGAUGAGGAGAGGGAAGGGCUCUUCGUCUAGGAUUUCAGUGGAUUGAGUAAGGGGAGAAGGAGAGAUGGUAAUCGAUUUUUUUUUUUUUUCUUUUCUGUUUGUAAUCGGGCCGAAUGGGCUGGGUGGGAUGGAUUGAGUAGAGUAGCCUUUUAUUUUUAGUUGGAUUGGGCUUUUUAUUUAGGCAUUAGUAGAUUUUUUUUUAAGUUUUGGUAUAAAUUGGACACUUACACAAAAGUGUCCCAAACAUGUAUCGCUAUACCCUAAUUCUAUUGUAGUGCAAUUAUUUAUUUAUCUACAUUAAAUUACUACUGGUUAUAACUUAUAAUGCACGUGCAAUGCACAUCACAUUUAAUUAAAUUAUAUUUAUAUUUAUAUUUUAAAUUUAAAUUUUUAUUAGUGUUAUGUGUUUUUUUAUUAUUUGAUUUUUUUCCUAAAUUUAGUUUUUCU